CCGGGUGUAGCGCAGCUGGUAGCGCGCCUGCUUUGGGAGCAGGAUGCCGUGAGUUCGAAUCUCGCCACUCGGACCA
rnacentral:tRNA from 1 species